rnacentral:lncRNA from 1 species
GGAGUCAAACCAUAGCACUGCUGGACCCAUAAAAGGCUUCGGUCACUCAGACAAGUCCUCAGCUGUUGUGGGGUGCAGGAGAAGGAUAUUGGAGACUUCCUCUUCCUAAUGUUGAGGAGGACAGCCUCACUCAGCAGGCAGGACAGGUGAUCCAGCAGGGAUGGGGGGCUGUGAUGCGCUGGGGAGGCAGACUGAGCCAGAACCUGUCAGAGCUAACCUGAAAAAGGAGGAGGUAAAGAUGAUCUGUCGGACCUCCAGGCCCAAGCAGGGAGCGACUUUGCUCCAGUCAGCAGUGGUGCUCCGGUUCCUUGGGGUUUGGGGAGGCUCUUCGGAGCCUCUAAAAGCCUCAGCAGCCCACCAAGUCACACACCAGCAACCAGGCGUCCGUCUCAGUGGCUGGCCCCUGGUGGUCACUGCACUGACACGAAUGGUGAGCAGCAACUCCACUCCGAUAAUAAGGCGGGGCCCUGAGCCGAGGGCGAAAGUGAGCCAGAGUCAGAGAAGGAGGUUGACACACCUGGAGAUGAUGGACAAACCCAGACCACUCAGGUCUGUACGAACGCUGUGUGACCACUCUGGAGCAGGUUCGGAGCUGAGCUUCUGCAAAGGGGAGGAACUGGUGGUGUUGGGAGGAGUCGAUCAGGACUGGAUUCGCUGUCGUCAGGGAGACAAAGAGGGACUGGUACCUAUUGGCUACACCUCCCUCAUCAUGUGACUUCGGUUCCAUAACUGCUGCACUCAAU